rnacentral:lncRNA from 1 species
GUGGUGCCAAAACCCCCCAGCGGAAAAAUGGCCAAAAAACGGGUGGGCUAUAGCCUUGGUGGGGGGCGCGGGCGAAGUUCGUCCGCCGGACUCGGAAUGUGGCGAGACUUUGCGAGGGGCCUCGGGGUGCCAAAAAUAAGCCGCGGGCAAAGCCGAGCCCAAAAAUAAGCGCCCGAAGGUCGUGGUGCCAAAACCCCCCAGCGGAAAAAUGGCCAAAAAACAGGUGGGCUAUAGCCUUGGUGGGGGGCGCGGGCGAAGUUCGUCCGCCGGACUCGGAAUGGGGCGAGACUUUGCGAGGGGCCUCGGGGUGCCCAAAAUAAGCCGCGGGCAAAGCCGCGCCCAAAAAUAAGCGCCCAAAGGUCGUGGUGCCAAAACCCCCCAGCGGAAAAAUGGCCAAAAAACGGGUGGGCUAUAGCCUUGGUGGGGGGCGCGGGCGAAGUUCGUCCGCCGGACUCGGAAUCGGGCGAGACUUUGUGAGGAGCCUCGGGGUGCCCGCGGGAAGUCGCGGGCACAGCCGCGUCCAGAAAUAAGCGCCCGAAGGUCGUGGUGCCAAAACCCCCAGCGGAAAAAUGGCCAAAAAACGGGUGGGCUACAGCCUUGGUGGGGGGCGCGGGCGAACUUCGUCCGCCGGACUCGGAAUGGGGCGAGACUUUGCGAGGGGCCUCGGGGUGGCAAAAAUAAGCCGCGGGCAAAGCCGCGCCCAAAAAUAAGCGCCCAAAGGUCGUGGUGCCAAAACCCCCCAGCGGAAAAAUGGCCAAAAAACGGGUGGGCUAUAGCCUUGGUGGGGGGCGCGGGCGAAGUUCGUCCACCGGACUCGGAAUGGGGCGAGACUUUUCGAGGGGCCUGGGAGCAUCAAAAAUAAGCCGCGGGCAAAGCCGCACCCAAAAAUAAGCGCCCGAAGGUCGUGGUGCCAAAACUCCCAGCGGAAAAAUGGGCCAAAAACGGGUGUGGCUAUGGCCUUGGUGGGGGGCGCGGGCGAAGUUUGUCCGCCGGACUUGGAAUGGGGCGAGACUUUGCGAGGGGCCUCGGGGUGCCAAAAAUAAGCCGCGGGCAAAGCCGCGCCCAAAAAUAAGCGCCCAAAGGUCGUGGUGCCAAAACCCCCCAGCGGAAAAAUGGCCAAAACACGGGUGGGCUAUAGCCUUGGUGGGGGGCGCGGGCGAAGUUCGUCCGCCGGACUCGGAAUGGGGCGAGACUUUGCGAGGGGCCUUGGGGUGCCCGCGGGAAGUCGCGGGCACAGCCGCGUCCAAAAAGAAGCGCCCGAAGGUCGUGGUGCCAAAACCCCCCAGCGGAAAAAUGGCCAAAAAACGGGCGGGCUAUAGCCUUGGUGGGGGGCGCGGGCGAAGUUCGUCCGCCGGACUCGGAAUGGGGCGAGACUUUGCGAGGGGCCUCGGGGUACCAAAAAUAAGCCGCGGGCAAAGCCGCGCCCAAAAAUAAGCGCCCGAAGGUCGUGGUGCCAAAACCCCCCAGCGGAAAAAUGGCCAAAAAACGGGUGGGCUAUAGCCUUGGUGGGGGCCGCGGGCGAAGUUCGUCCGCCGGACUCGGAAUGGGGCGAGACUUUUCGAGGGGCCUCGGGGUACCAAAAAUAAGCCGCGGGCAAAGCCGCGCCCAAAAAUAAGCGCCCGAAGGUCAUGGUGCCAAAACCCCCCAGCGGAAAAAUGGCCAAAAAACGGGUGGGCUAUAGCCUUGGUGGGGGGCGCGGGCGAAGUUCGUCCGCCGGACUCAGAAUGGGGCGAGACUUUGCGAGGGGCCUCGGGGUANNN